UACAGAGGGUGCAAGCGUUAGUCGGAAUUACUGGGCGUAAAGCGCGCGUAGGUGGUUCGUUAAGUUGGAUGUGAAAUCCCCGGGCUCAACCUGGGAACUGCAUCCAAAACUGGCGAGCUAGAGUAGGGCAGAGGGUGGUGGAAUUUCCUGUGUAGCGGUGAAAUGCGUAGAUAUAGGAAGGAACACCAGUGGCGAAGGCGACCACCUGGGCUCAUACUGACACUGAGGUGCGAAAGCGUGGGGAGCAAACAGG
rnacentral:rRNA from 1 species